ACAUACUCACUUGGGAAAGACGACGAGGCAGCCAGAGAGUGCCAGGGAGGCCACCGGUGCCGCUCGGGACACCACCAUGUCCAGCAGCCAGGGGGCCUGCAGGGGAGGAACAGGGAGGAUGUGGGACGUCCUUGUGACGGCUGAGGCACUGGGCGCACAAGGAGCCCAAGCUUCUCAAGGAAGUCGUAAUAGAAUUUCAUGUGGAAGGUCAGUCCAUCGAUGUGGAGCACUCCAAUGUCCUUGAAGACAACGGCAACGUUCUCCCCAUUCUUCAGGCAGCCAGAGAGCAGGGACACGGUGCUUUGGAUGCAAGCCUGCGCUGUCUGCCAGGUCACAGAGGCAGCUGCGGCCACCUCGCUGCUCUUGAGCGGCUCCAGCUUCCUAUGGGCUGAAAAAUGGGAGGGACGGAGUUGAUGAUACGGUUGGUUUUCCGCAGUGCUUCCC
ensembl:lncRNA